UACGGAGGAUCCAAGCGUUAUCCGGAAUCAUUGGGUUUAAAGGGUCCGUAGGCGGUUUUGUAAGUCAGUGGUGAAAUCCGGUCGCUCAACGAUCGAACGGCCAUUGAUACUGCAGGACUUGAAUUAUUGUGAAGUAACUAGAAUAUGUAGUGUAGCGGUGAAAUGCUUAGAGAUUACAUGGAAUACCAAUUGCGAAGGCAGGUUACUAACAAUUGAUUGACGCUGAUGGACGAAAGCGUGGGGAGCGAACAGG
rnacentral:rRNA from 1 species